GACGAACGCUGGCGGCGUGCCUAAUACAUGCAAGUAGAACGCACAGUUUAUACCGUAGCUUGCUACACCAUAGACUGUGAGUUGCGAACGGGUGAGUAACGCGUAGGUAACCUGCCUGGUAGCGGGGGAUAACUAUUGGAAACGAUAGCUAAUACCGCAUAAUAUUAAUUAUUGCAUGAUAAUUAAUUGAAAGGUGCAAUUGCACCACUACCAGAUGGACCUGCGUUGUAUUAGCUAGUAGGUGAGGUAACGGCUCACCUAGGCGACGAUACAUAGCCGACCUGGGAGGGUGAUCGGCCACACUGGGACUGAGACACGGCCCAGACUCCUACGGGAGGCAGCAGUAGGGAAUCUUCGGCAAUGGACGAAAGUCUGACCGAGCAACGCCGCGUGAGUGAAGAAGGUUUUCGGACCGUAAAGCUCUGUUGUAAGAGAAGAACGGGUGUGAGAGUGGAAAGUUCACACUGUGACGGUAUCUUACCAGAAAGGGACGGCUAACUACGUG
rnacentral:rRNA from 1 species